GUGCCAGCCGCCGCGGUAAGACGAACCGUGCGAACGUUGUUCGGAAUCACUGGGCUUAAAGGGCGCGUAGGCGGGCUCGCAAGUCAGGGGUGAAAGCCCGCGGCUCAACCGCGGAAGCGCCUUUGAUACUGCGGGCCUCGAGGGGGGUAGGGGCGUGCGGAACUUCCGGUGGAGCGGUGAAAUGCGUAGAUAUCGGAAGGAACACCGGUGGCGAAAGCGGCGCGCUGGACCCCUUCUGACGCUGAGGCGCGAAAGCCAGGGGAGCAAACGGGAUUAGAUACCCCCGUAGUCC
rnacentral:rRNA from 1 species